AAAGUUUGUUUACAAAUGUCAUGGGCUUUAUAAUAUUUACAAGUUUUAUAAUUAAUCAAUUAUCAUUCUAUAAUUGAUUAUUUAAUAUGCAAUAGAGAUUCAAAUUGGAUUUUUUCAGUAGGCUACUCAAAGUGUUUAAUGAAUUCAAAUUGUGAAUAGUAAAGUUUUAAGAAUUCAAAAUGUAUAGUGAGUGUUGAGUGUUCAAAGUGUUUUAUUCAACAAUCAUUUUAUAAUAUUCAACCGUGGAUUAAUUUUUGUUUAUCAACCGUAACUCAACAUUUAGCUUUAUAACAACAUGCUACAAUGAGUAUGAACAGUUUUAAUUGAACAUGUCUAGAAAUUGUUGUGUCCCUGGGUGUAAAUCGAACUAUAUUAUAGAAAACCCCCUUUUAGUAGCAAUAUUCACUUUGGUAUGCUGGCACUGGACGUGCACUUUAGCCAUUCGACCAAAGAUAAAGAGCUGAGGAAAAAAUGGACAAGGUGUAGAAAGAUUUUAAAGUCACCAACAAUUUGGCUGUGUGUAUCAAUCAUUUUAGAGCAUCAGGCAUUAUUAAAGAAGACAAGUUUUUGUGUGAAGAUGGUUUUUAUGUGACUAUUCCAAGAAA